rnacentral:misc_RNA from 1 species
GCAGGCUUGUUNUGGGUUGCAUUUCGGUCGCCCGGUGGCUUCUCCUUGUGAGGUGUUGCCGGGCGAUCUUUGUUUCCCUUCUUGCGAUGGGACGACGCAUGAGUGGCUUCCGGGAUAUGUUCCCCGUGCAGGCUCCGUGUUCAUGGCAUCGAACUGCUCGGGUCUAUCCGUCUCAUUUGUGAGUUCGCCUCGGCGCGUCUUGGGUCGGUUGCGGCUACUCGUCGGGUUGCUGUGCUAGAUACUCGAUUCCGUAGUUGGAUGGAUCGUUUCGCCCCGUGUUGGUUCGUUGGUUCUCCUCUGCCUCUCGAGGCGGUGGUGGAUAUCGUGCGGGCAUCGACGUUGUCCUCCCGGGCAGCUGCCUCCCUUCGGGAGCCAGUGCUCGUGGUGGCGCGUCGAUGCUGCCGGCACUCUCGGGUACGGAGAUUUGAUGGAUAACGCGUAGGCCUUCGUCGGCCUUCGUGUUCGUAACGUUUCGAAGCACCGUCGCUUCUCCUCGCACGACCCUCGUGCUCCUCCGAGAGCUCACGGAGCCUCUUCGUUCGGUGUUCUUCUCGGUUGAGCCGUCGAGGUCCUCGAAGGAAUGC